GACAGGGGAUGCAAGCGUCACUCGGAAUUACUGGGCGUAAAGCGUCUGCAGGCGUUCUCCCACGUCCGGCGUAAAAUCACGGAGCUUAACUCCGUGUUCGCGCUGGAAACGAGGAGGAUUGAGUUACUGAGAGGUAUCUGGAAUGCCGUGUGUAGGGGUAAAAUCCGUAGAUCCACGGUGGAACGCCAAAAGCGAAGGCAGGAUACUGGCAGUGUACUGACGCUCAGAGACGAAAGCGUGGGGAGCAAAGGGG
rnacentral:rRNA from 1 species